GUAAGUCGAUCGAGGUGUGGCCGAGGGGUGUUGAUCCUCAAAAGUUGUUUCGAAAAGGAUCACCGAAGGUGAAUCAAUCGGAGAAGUAAUCGGAUGAGAGUCUAUCGUUUCAAGAGAAGGUUCGGUCAAGGUGGAAGAUCGAUGAUAAGUUGUUGGAGCCAAGUGAAGUUUGAUCAAAGGUUUCAAAAGAAAUAGAAUCGGUUUAAGGGAGCCGAAGGAAUUACAUAGGUUCUUGUAAAGUUCACGCAAUGGUAAUGGAAUAUCAUUGUCCGUGAUAUGCAAGGAGUAAGUUCAAGGAAUUUGAUUCCGAUAAGUAAGUGUGAACUUGCUUUCCGGAACCGAGCUGUUGCUGUUGGAAGACUUCAGUAAUGUUCGGUCUAAGUAUAGAAUGGAUAGCCAAGAAGUUUACGUGAAGCAUGAAGUGAUGUUAAGGCAAAGAGUGGCUAGGAAGUGUUAUCAUGAAGUUGGCUAGAUGAAGAUCUAGUAUAUCCGACAAGGGUAUGAUGAAGUGCUGAAUGGUGAGAAUCGAAGUUCUUGGUUUUGGAAUGGAGUUCCUUGAAGAAUUACUGACGGCUAUAGAGAGCCGGAGGUAAGGUGCAUUCGGUAAAGGUUGAGCAUUGUAAAGUUGAAAAGUAAAGCGAACCUGUUGUGAAGGUUGGAGACAGCUCCAUCCAUCAAACGGGACCGAUGAGAAAUGUU
rnacentral:lncRNA from 1 species